rnacentral:rRNA from 1 species
AGGGUGCAAGCGUUAAUCGGAAUUACUGGGCGUAAAGCGCGCGUAGGUGGUUUGAUAAGCGAGAUGUGAAAGCCCCGGGCUUAACCUGGGAACGGCAUUUCGAACUGUCAGGCUAGAGUGUGGUAGAGGGUAGUGGAAUUUCCUGUGUAGCGGUGAAAUGCGUAGAUAUAGGAAGGAACACCAGUGGCGAAGGCGGCUACCUGGACCAACACUGACACUGAGGUGCGAAAGC